CUUGAAGAGGAGCAGGCGAGGCUGAGUCAGUGACUCCAGAGUGGAAACAUGGUCUGGUAACACCACGCUUCCGGAUGUGAUUGUGGAGCUGGAUUGCUUAACCUGGGCUAAGUCAUUUAUCUUCCUGUGUCCCUCAGUUCUUCAUGGGCUGCAGAAGUGUUAAGAGUGCCUGCUUGUCUUCGAGAGGACCAGAGAUCAAUUCCCAGCAUCCAUCCCUGGAAGCUACAGGGAAUUCAACACUCUUCCUGACUUCCUCAAACACCUGCACACAUAUGGCUUAUAGACACACAGGGAAAGAAGUAAAGGAAAUCUUAAAAACAGCUGUGUAUUUUUAAAUUUAGUCUGUGUGUGUCUGUAUGUGUCUCUGUGUCUCUGUGUGUGUAUGUGAUAGUUUUCAGCCUUUUUCCACUGUGCUACCAGCGUGUGUGUGUGUCAUGGGGCUUGGCAGCAGGCACUUUACCUGUUAAGCUUUCUCUCUGCCCUCUACUUUCAUUUGGAUAGCUGUCUAAACCGUCAU
rnacentral:lncRNA from 1 species